UAAAGAUUCAUCGCUGAUAGAUAGGCAUGCGUUCCAUUAGGCAGUUGGCGGGGUAACGGCCCACCAAACCGACGAUGGAUAGGGGUUCUGAGAGGAAGGUCCCCCACAUUGGUACUGAGACACGGACCAAACUCCUACGGGAGGCAGCAGUGAGGAAUAUUGGUCAAUGAGCGUAAGCCUGAACCAGCCAAGUCGCGUGAGGGAUGAAGGUUCUAUGGAUCGUAAACCUCUUUUAUAAGGGAAUAAAGUGUGGGACGUGUCCUAUUUUGUAUGUACCUUAUGAAUAAGGAUCGGCUAACUCCGUGCCAGCAGCCGCGGUAAUACGGAGGAUCCGAGCGUUAUCCGGAUUUAUUGGGUUUAAAGGGUGCGUAGGCGGCCUUUUAAGUCAGCGGUGAAAGUCUGUGGCUCAACCAUAGAAUUGCCGUUGAAACUGGGGGGCUUGAGUAUGUUUGAGGCAGGCGGAAUGCGUGGUGUAGCGGUGAAAUGCUUAGAUAUCACGCAGAACCCCGAUUGCGAAGGCAGCCUGCCAAGCCAUGACUGACGCUGAUGCACGAAAGCGUGGGGAUCAAACAGGAUUAGAUACCCUGGUAGUCCACGCAGU
rnacentral:rRNA from 1 species